rnacentral:tRNA from 1 species
GGGAUCUUAGCUCAGCUGGGAGAGCAUCUGCCUUACAAGCAGAAGGUCAUAGGUUCGAGCCCUAUAGGUCCCA